GCGGCGGCGCGCGCUGCGGGCAGUGAGUGUGGAGGCGCGGACGCGCGGCGGAGCUGGAACUGCUGCAGCUGCUGCCGCCGCCGGAGGAACCUUGAUCCCCGUGCUCCGGACACCCCGGGCCUCGCCAUGGCUGACCAGCUGACUGAGGAGCAGAUCGCAGUUCAAGGAGGCCUUCUCCCUCUUUGACAAGGAUGGAGAUGGCACUAUCACCACCAAGGAGUUGGGGACAGUGAUGAGAUCCCUGGGACAGAACCCCACUGAAGCAGAGCUGCAGGAUAUGAUCAAUGAGGUGGAUGCAGAUGGGAACGGGACCAUUGACUUCCCGGAGUUCCUGACCAUGAUGGCCAGAAAGAUGAAGGACACAGACAGUGAGGAGGAGAUCCGAGAGGCGUUCCGUGUCUUUGACAAGGAUGGGAACGGCUACAUCAGCGCCGCAGAGCUGCGUCACGUAAUGACGAACCUGGGGGAGAAGCUGACCGAUGAGGAGGUGGAUGAGAUGAUCAGAGAGGCUGACAUCGAUGGAGAUGGCCAGGUCAAUUAUGAAGAGUUUGUACAGAUGAUGACUGCAAAGUGAAGGCCCCCCGGGCAGCUGGCGAUGCCCGUUCUCUAGAUCUCUCUGUUCUCGCGCGCGCACUCUCUCUUCAACACUCCCCUGCGUACCCCGGUUCUAGCAAACACCAAUUGAUUGACUGAGAA
rnacentral:sRNA from 1 species